rnacentral:misc_RNA from 1 species
CAAAAAAAAAAUGUUGACUUCCUCUUUGUACUGCUCUCUCAUUGAAGUCUAGUCCUAUCCCUGUCUCUAAAUGCAGCCCAUCAUUCACUGUCUUCUCUUCUCUCCAUACUACAUCCUUUCAGGCGUUAUUGAGAUAAAUGCGAAGGUCAUUGAAUCCUAAUUUCAUCAUCUUCAAACAUGUUCUUCAUCUCUGCACCAUUUAUUGCCAGUGUCUUUUGCCUCGCAACUUUAGCUUUUGGAGCUACUAGAUUACCGAAUGAUGAAGUGGAAGCUCUACGUGACAUAGCCAAGACACUGGGGAAGACAAAUUGGAACUUUAGCGUUGAUCCAUGCUCUGGUGAAUCAGGAUGGGCAGAUCCAAAUCCAGUGAAGGGCUCAGAAAAUGCUGUUACCUGUAAUUGUUCCUUCUCCGAUGCCACCAUCUGCCACAUCAUUAGCAUAGUUCUGAAGUCUCAGAAUCUCCAAGGCACUCUCCCAAAAGACUUGGGCAGGCUUCCUUUCCUCCGAGAAAUUGACCUCUCUCGUAACUACCUUAACGGUACAAUCCCUCCACAAUGGGGUUCCAUGCAAUUGGUCAACAUCUCUCUUCUGGGAAAUCGGUUAACGGGUCCAAUUCCAAAAGAAAUUGGAAACAUCAGCACUCUUGCAAAUCUAACUGUGGAGUGCAAUCAACUUUCUGGAGGAUUGCCUCGAGAGCUUGGAAGUUUAAACCGCAUAGAGAGAAUGCUGCUUAACUCCAAUAAUUUUACUGGGCAGUUGCCUGCCACUUUUGCAAACCUAACCACAUUGAAAGACUUUCGAAUUGGUGAUAGCCAGUUCACAGGCCCGAUACCUAAUUUUAUUCAGAAUUGGACUAAUCUAGAAAAACUAGUGAUUCAGGGCAGCGGUUUAAGUGGGCCAAUUCCAUCUGGCAUCGGUCUUUUGGGAAAGAUAACCGACUUGAGAAUCAGUGACUUGAGUGAUGGAACUGAAACACGAUUUCCACCAUUGAGUAAUAUGAAGAACCUGAAGACUCUAAUACUGAGGAGUUGCAAUAUUCUUGGACAGCUACCUGACUUUCUCGGGGGAAUGUCCAAAUUGAAAACCUUAGACCUCAGCUUUAACAAACUGACAGGAGAAAUUCCACCCAGCCUUUCUGGUGCAGUAAAAACAGAUUACAUAUACUUAACUGGAAAUCUACUAAAUGGAAUAGUGCCUGACUGGAUACUUGAAAAAGGAGAAAAUGUUGAUCUUUCCUAUAAUAAUUUCACAAUUGAAAGCAUAUGUCAACAGCGGACCGUAAACUUAUUUGGAAGCUCCUCAAUGGGAAAUGUUUCUACCACUGUUUCAUGCUUAAGAAGCUACCACUGUCCAAAAUAUUUCUAUUCCUUCCAUAUAAAUUGUGGUGGGAAGGAAGCUAUGAGUAAGGAAAUUACAUAUGAAGGUGAUGUAGAGGAAAUUACAUAUGAAGAUGAUGUAGACUCAGCUGGACCUUCAAGAUUCUACCAAAGCAGAACUAACUGGGCAUUCAGCAGCACUGGAAAUUUCAUGGAUGAUGACCGUCCAACGGAUUCCUACACCUGCACAAACUCAACUGAACUCUCAGCAGGCGCUUCUGCGCUAUACAUGGAUGCACGCCUUUCCCCACUCUCUCUUACUUAUUACGGUUUCUGCAUGGGAAAUGGGAACUACACAGUUAGACUCCACUUUGCAGAGAUAAUGUUUACUGAUGACAACACAUAUAGCAGCCUUGGUAGGCGCCUGUUUGAUAUUUACAUUCAGGGAAAGCUUGUGCAAAAUGAUUUUAACAUUGAAGAUGAAGCAGGUGGGGUUGGUAAGGCCAUUAUCAAAAAUUUUACAGCCAUUGUAACAAGUCAUACAUUGGAGAUACGCUUUUAUUGGGAUGGAAAAGGGACAACUGGUAUCCCUUCUAGAGGAGUUUAUGGUCCUCUAAUAUCAGCCAUUUCUGUCACUCCUGGUAAGUUGAGUGCUUUUUUGAGCUUCCAGUGCGCAUCUGUGUUCCACAUGCAUUAAAUAUUUAAAUUUUAUUCUUAUAGGAUGCAAUGACUGCUUCCACAUGCUCUAGUCUAGUGUGAAGAUUGUACAACCUUUUUUUAGUGUACAAGUAACUGUUUCUUGCUUUUUCAUAUUCUUUGUUUUCUGUUAUCAUGCAAUGGAGAGAGAAAGAGAGAGAAAAGUGUGAAAGAGAGAUAAAUAAGUUAUUUAUCUCAUGUUUAUUUUAAUGUCACACCUAAAGAUUUUAUUUUCUAUUAUGGUUGAUGAAUAUGGCAACUAUUUUUGCAUGAAUAUGAAAUGCAGGGCUGACAUGCUACUGCUACAGUCACAAGCACUAGUCAGCAUUCAAUCUAAAAGGAAUAAGAAGAGUUUUCUUGCGAUUUUUUUUUUAACUCCUAAAUAACACAAAAACCAGGGAAUGUGAAAUUGUUCCUUUUUCUUGUUAAUCUGAAGUUAAUAUUCUCUGGAUCAUUAUGCCUGGUGCAUUGUUGAAAAUUUUCCCUAAUGAUGCAACCUCAAUUGUCUAUUGGUUUCAUAUUCUUUCAUUAUGUAGAUUUUGUACCUCCUCCAGAAAGUGGCAGUAAUAUAUCUGCAGGCACCGUGGUUGGAAUUGUGGUUGCUGUAGUAGCUAUCAUCAUUCUGGUUCUUGGUGUCCUCUGGUGGAAAGGCUGUUUAAGACUUAAGGAUAAAAUGGAUCAAGGUAUUUUUCUUUCAAUUUCAACUUAUUUGUUUGCGUUGAUAUAUCUGUGGAAUUUUUUACUUCAUUUCAGCUAGUGGUAAAGUUGCAUACAAUAACUCUCCCCAGAGCCUACAAGUGUGGGGUGCUUUGUACACUAGGUCACCCUUCAGCAUCAUGCAAUGAAUUGAUGGUUCCAAAUAUGUUUGAAACUUGAUACUGCAAUAGUUUACUGCUGCUGUAAUAUCAACUACUGCAUAAUUCUGCUAAGUUAAAGUCAAAGUUGUUAUUUUUAUAACAAAAGAAA